CGUAGGCGGGAUGGCAAGUCGGUCGUGAAAUCCUUCGGCUCAACCGAAGAACGUCGGCCGAUACUGCCGUUCUUGAGGGAUGCAGAGGAGAUUGGAAUUCCCGGUGUAGCGGUGAAAUGUGUAGAGAUCGGGAGGAACACCGGUGGCGAAGGCGGGUCUCUGGGCAUCUCCUGACGCUGAGGCGCGAAAGCGUGGGGAGCAAACG
rnacentral:rRNA from 1 species